GUGUUGUUCCUGUCUCAGUAGAUGUUGUUGUUGUAGUAGUUGUUGUAGUAGUGGAAGUGGUUGCAGGUGUCUCUGUUGAUGUUGGUGUUGUAGGAGUUGCAGAAGGUGUUGUUUCUGUCUCUGUAGAUGUUGUUGUAACAGUAGCUGUUGUAGUAAUGGAAGUGGUUGUAGGUGUCUCUGUUGAUGUUGGUGUUGUAGGAGUUGUAGAAGGUGUU